AUAAUCAUCAUACCAGCACUAACGCACAGGAUCCCAUUAGAACUCCGAAGUUAAGCGUGCUUGGGCGAGAGUAGUACUAGGAUGGGUUACCCCCUGGGAAGUCCUCGUGUUGCAUUUC
rnacentral:rRNA from 1 species